UUGCACCUGGGGCUAGUAGCAGGCGACAAGGGCGAAAAAAGAGCUAGAGUUUUCAUCUCCGGAGGGGUGUUUCCGGGAGAUUUAGCUGGAGUGCGGAGAUGCCAUACUCACUGCAGAGUGUUGAAGACAGCGUAAUUAUAAGGUUGCAAAUAAGGGAAGGAUUACCAGCAUGUUCGGAUGCUGAGUACUGGAUCCAGGAGCAUUGGCCUUCAUGAGGUUUUGAGAACUGAGUGCUGCAGUGCAUAGAUUGAGAGCUGGCAGCCAUAGCAGCUCAGCCCAAGAAGAAGAGGCUGCAUCUCCAGAGGAUGGAUGUCAGUCUGUGAAGGACCAAGAGCUGCUAUCAACUUGGAUUCUGAAAACCUAACUGUUGAACAUUUGGUGUAGAAGUAUGCUUUGUGUAUCAGGACAUUCUCAACAAAGCUAAGAGAUGUAUUGAGCAACAUUUUUCUGUAACUGGCACAUUUGGUAUCAUUCAUUAAAUUUCUAGCAAUGUCCCUUGCCAGCCUGUCCAACAGGAGCUUCUUAUACUAAUUGGUUGUUAUGUUGGGAGCUAGUUAUUUAAAAUGGUAAUUGUUAAUUCCCCUCGAGUAAUGUUUUCAUUAAGUUCCCGUGAACUAAUACUGUAAUAAAGGAUGGUCUUUGGUA